rnacentral:rRNA from 1 species
CCUACGGGAGGCAGCAGUGAGGAAUAUUGGUCAAUGGUCGGGAGACUGAACCAGCCAAGCCGCGUGAGGGAUGAAGGUACAGAGUAUCGUAAACCUCUUUUGUCAGGGAACAAAGGCGGGGACGUGUCCCCGGAUGAGUGUACCUGAAGAAAAAGCAUCGGCUAACUCCGUGCCAGCAGCCGCGGUAAUACGGAGGAUGCGAGCGUUAUCCGGAUUUAUUGGGUUUAAAGGGUGCGCAGGCGGUCUGUUAAGUCAGGGGUCAAAGCCCGGGGCUCAACCCCGGACCGCCGUUGAAACUGGCAGUCUGGAGGUGGAGUGAAGUAUGCGGAAUGCGCGGUGUAGCGGUGAAAUGCAUAGAUAUCGCGAAGAACUCCGAUUGCGAAGGCAGCAUGCCGGCUCCACACUGACGCUGAGGCACGAAAGCGUGGGUAUCGAACAGGAUUAGAUACCCCUGUAGUC